rnacentral:rRNA from 1 species
UACGUAGGGUGCAAGCGUUGUCCGGAAUUAUUGGGCGUAAAGAGCGUGUAGGCGGCCCGACAAGUCCGCUGUGAAAGUCCAGGGCUCAACCCUGGAAUGCCGGUGGAUACUGUCGGGCUAGAGUCCGGAAGAGGAGAGUGGAAUUCCCGGUGUAGCGGUGAAAUGCGCAGAUAUCGGGAAGAACACCUAUGGCGAAGGCAGCUCUCUGGGACGGUACUGACGCUGAGACGCGAAAGCGUGGGGAGCGAACAGG